UUUUUUCUGACUAUUCCCUUAGGGCAAAUUCCUGGAGAAUUGCAGUUUUAAGGAGCUUAUUUUUAGAAGCUUUUGAGAUAUAUAUAUACAUACAUCAUAUGUAUAUGAUAUAUAUAUAAUAUACAGGAUAACAUACAAUGUCUAUGAUAUAUAUCUAUAUAUAUAUCUUCUUCAGAAAAAAUAUAUAUAUUCUUCAGAAAAAGGACGUAUCAACGAUUUCACCCGUAAUGAUGGAAGACUGUAUAUCCCUGUGCUUUUCCCACAAAAUCACAACUUCCACCAAUUCUUUCUAUAGUUGAUAAUUUCGUAACUGAAAACUGGUGGCAAGGAUAGAGUUUUCAAUAUUAGUAGGCAAGCUUUCUAAAUUCCUUCCCUUUUCUCUGUUUUGAAACAAGACAAACUGACCCCAUCUCGAAUCCUACUAACGAUCCCAAGCAAUUCAGUAUCAGGAGAAAGCUGUGCCAAGAACCUCUCUUCUGAAUUUCAGGAAUGUAGGGAGCCUGGAAGGGCAGAGGAAAGGUCUACCCCAAGUUCCCAGUGACCUUGAACACCAUGCAUUUGAUCUGAUCACUCUGCGUGGAGCCAGUGACCUUCCCAGCAAGUCCCCGUGACAAACUUCACCAGUAACACCGUCUACCUAGGCGGUGCAGACGCUCCUGCGUUACCCCCGUCGUGGACUCAUGGCCCACGCAAACCCGGGAUUGAUUACAAACUCCAGCUGCAGGGAGCUAAAGUCUACCCUCCACACAGCACAGAAUAGUGUACAAUCGUCUUUCUAAAACUUUCAGGUCAUGUCAUUUGUAGGCUCAGACCUUUCCAGCAGUUUCCUAGCUCAGAAUAAAAUCCUCUCUGUGGCCUACAGGUUCUCCCCCUCGGCCUCAUCUUCCACCACUUUCUGGUUCCGCUGCUCUUUGCUGCUCACACUGGCCUCCUUUCCAGAUCCUUCACUCAGCAACUAAGCAUCCGGUGUAGAGUCCUUGCAUUUGCUCUUUCUCCCGCUUCCUGCACUCUUCCUUCAGAAGGCAGUGGCUUCAGGUCUCUGUUCAAACGUCCCCUCAUCCGACAGGCCAUCCCUAAAACACCACCCCUGCCUCAAACCAUGACUCUGUCCUCUUACCCUGAUUUAUUUUUCUCCUACACUUAAUCUGGAAUACCCCAUCCCCUGUUUAUUUUUCACUUGUUAGGCCCAUCUCUCCCUAGAACGCAGACUCCCACACAGGCAGGGGCUUCAUGAUGUUCACCCUCGGUACCAGGUCGCAUAAAGCAGAUAACCAGAAACUAUUUCUUGGCAGAAAUCACUACGUGCUUUCACGAUUCAUCCAGAAAUUAUAUUCGGACUGCCACUCACAACACGUGAUGGUCUGGUUCUCCCAUCAGGGCCAUCUGACUUGCCUGCCUGGCGAUCAAACCGCCUAGGACUUGAGCCGCUACGUCACUUAGCUUUCUAUGACCUGGCCAAGCACUCUGACGUCUUCUCCUUCACAUAUACA
rnacentral:lncRNA from 1 species